GUAUGGUACCACCAGUAUUUAUAUUUUUGCCCUUGAAGUGUUUGGCUUCUUAUCACCACCAGAGGGUGGACAUGCAUUGAUUGUAUUGUAUGACAAACUGAGAUUGAAAGUGUUGUGUACUAACACCACACUGUUGACGGAGAGCGAACAUUUCAUUUAAUAUAGUGUUGAAUAAAAGUUGACCGAUUUUUUUUUUUUUUUUUUGGAUAAAAGCUCAAGCAAUUCCUAUGGUGAUGGAUAAUGGGCUUGUGUUUUAGUUGGCUAAGGAUGUCGUCAACAGUCUAGACAUCAAACAUCCGUCUAGAAUGACGUCUGAUUCUUGGGCCAGACUACUAAUCUGUCAGCAUGGAGGAAACCACCAUUGUCUUAGGUGCUUGGUGAUGUCAUCAACCCGGGACAAGAGUCAGGGAGAACACCAAGUUUCACAACAUAAACGUUUUCAAUAUAUUCAUUCAAGAAAAGUCACGCCUUGGGAGUUUUAUUGAAGACUUAGUUGUUAGCUAUCUGUCUAGUUUUGCAUGGGAACGCAACUCAAGGGCAGAAUAGUGAAAAAACAUCAUCACAGCGGGCUCAAGCACAAGAAUAACUGCACACGGUGGUUAUGUUUCUACGUUCAUCAGCCAACAAAGCCUCUUAUCCUAGGGAGGACCAGCAGUCUACGAUGCAACAACCAGAGCCAGGUGUUCAACAGAGAGAGAUGGAAGAGCCUCUUCAGCACAUUGGGACCAAGUCUCAAUCUACAAGAUCAAGGUCAUCAAAACAGUCAAGCAGAUCCUCAACGGCGAGUUCUGCAGCCGUCAAAGCACGCACCAAGGCGGAGGCAGCACGUGCACAAGUCUCUUAUGCUGAGAAGGAAGCUUCUGUGAUGAAACAAAAGUCAGAAAUAGAGGCCAGCUUGUUGAAGCAAAAUGCAGAAACAGAGGCCAGCUUGUUGAAGCAAAAAGCUGACCUCGAGGCAAGUUUAUAUGUUCUCCAAGUUGAGAGAACAGCUGCUGCUGCGUUGGCUGAAGCUGCAGCCUUUGAAGAAGUUGUAGGAUCAGAACGCAGAGAGCUUCGCAAAGAACUAGACACCGGGACACAGCCCUUAAGUCCAGUCCAACGUACAUGUGAGUACGUGCAACAACAUGCUAGGCCCUACUUUGCUGAACUUCCAUUUGAAGUGGAGAAACAAGAGCUUAGUGUUGACCCAGCUACAUGCCAUAAUCCAGAAAGUAGCAAACAACAGAACAUGAGCAGAGACUCUCCGUUCAAAAGAAAUGAACAGCAGCAUGGUGGAAAUGGAAAGCAAGCCCACUUCCAGUCACACACACACAACUUCCCUGAGUCACAAGUGGCACCAGACCUCAUCAAGUACCUCCUACGACGUGAGAUGGUGAGUUCAGGACUCCUGAAGUUUGAUGAUCGCCCUGAAUAAUCUGUUACCUUCUAACAGGAUGGCAGCACAAACAGCUUACAGACGGUAGGCAAUUAAGUGAUACAGUUAAGAACAUUUAGGACACUAAAGAGGCCUUUCUACUGAAUCUGAAAAA